rnacentral:rRNA from 1 species
UGCAAGUCGAACGAACUCUGGUAUUGAUUGGUGCUUGCAUCAUGAUUUACAUUUGAGUGAGUGGCGAACUGGUGAGUAACACGUGGGAAACCUGCCCAGAAGCGGGGGAUAACACCUGGAAACAGAUGCUAAUACCGCAUAACAACUUGGACCGCAUGGUCCGAGUUUGAAAGAUGGCUUCGGCUAUCACUUUUGGAUGGUCCCGCGGCGUAUUAGCUAGAUGGUGGGGUAACGGCUCACCAUGGCAAUGAUACGUAGCCGACCUGAGAGGGUAAUCGGCCACAUUGGGACUGAGACACGGCCCAAACUCCUACGGGAGGCAGCAGUAGGGAAUCUUCCACAAUGGACGAAAGUCUGAUGGAGCAACGCCGCGUGAGUGAAGAAGGGUUUCGGCUCGUAAAACUCUGUUGUUAAAGAAGAACAUAUCUGAGAGUAACUGUUCAGGUAUUGACGGUAUUUAACCAGAAAGCCACGGCUAACUACGUGCCAGCAGCCGCGGUAAUACGUAGGUGGCAAGCGUUGUCCGGAUUUAUUGGGCGUAAAGCGAGCGCAGGCGGUUUUUUAAGUCUGAUGUGAAAGCCUUCGGCUCAACCGAAGAAGUGCAUCGGAAACUGGGAAACUUGAGUGCAGAAGAGGACAGUGGAACUCCAUGUGUAGCGGUGAAAUGCGUAGAUAUAUGGAAGAACACCAGUGGCGAAGGCGGCUGUCUGGUCUGUAACUGACGCUGAGGCUCGAAAGUAUGGGUAGCAAACAGGAUUAGAUACCCUGGUAGUCCAUACCGUAAACGAUGAAUGCUAAGUGUUGGAGGGUUUCCGCCCUUCAGUGCUGCAGCUAACGCAUUAAGCAUUCCGCCUGGGGAGUACGGCCGCAAGGCUGAAACUCAAAGGAAUUGACGGGGGCCCGCACAAGCGGUGGAGCAUGUGGUUUAAUUCGAAGCUACGCGAAGAACCUUACCAGGUCUUGACAUACUAUGCAAAUCUAAGAGAUUAGACGUUCCCUUCGGGGACAUGGAUACAGGUGGUGCAUGGUUGUCGUCAGCUCGUGUCGUGAGAUGUUGGGUUAAGUCCCGCAACGAGCGCAACCCUUAUUAUCAGUUGCCAGCAUUAAGUUGGGCACUCUGGUGAGACUGCCGGUGACAAACCGGAGGAAGGUGGGGAUGACGUCAAAUCAUCAUGCCCCUUAUGACCUGGGCUACACACGUGCUACAAUGGAUGGUACAACGAGUUGCGAACUCGCGAGAGUAAGCUAAUCUCUUAAAGCCAUUCUCAGUUCGGAUUGUAGGCUGCAACUCGCCUACAUGAAGUCGGAAUCGCUAGUAAUCGCGGAUCAGCAUGCCGCGGUGAAUACGUUCCCGGGCCUUGUACACACCGCCCGUCACACCAUGAGAGUUUGUAACACCCAAAGUCGGUGGGGUAACCUUUUAGG